GAUGAACGCUGGCGGCGUGCUUAACACAUGCAAGUCGAACGGAAAGGCCCUGCUUUUGUGGGGUGCUCGAGUGGCGAACGGGUGAGUAACACGUGAGUAACCUGCCCUCGACUUUGGGAUAACUUCAGGAAACUGGGGCUAAUACCGGAUAGGAGCUCCUGCUGCAUGGUGGGCGUUGGAAAGUUUCGGGGGUUGGGGAUGGACUCGCGGCUUAUCAGCUUGUUGGUGGGGUAGUGGCUUACCAAGGCUUUGACGGGUAGCCGGCCUGAGAGGGUGACCGGCCACAUUGGCACUGAGCUACGGCCCAGACUCCUACGGGAGACAGCAGUGGGGAAUAUUGCACAAUGGGCCCAAGCCUGAUGCAGCAACGCCGCGUGCGGGAUGACGGCCUGCGGGUAUACAACCGCAUUCGCCUGUGACGAAGCGUUAGUGACGGUAAUGGAUGAAGAAGCACCGGCUAACUACGUG
rnacentral:rRNA from 1 species